rnacentral:rRNA from 1 species
AUGAACGCUGGCGGCAGGCCUAACACAUGCAAGUCGAGCGGUAGAGAGAAGCUUGCUUCUCUUGAGAGCGGCGGACGGGUGAGUAAUGCCUAGGAAUCUGCCUGGUAGUGGGGGAUAACGUUCGGAAACGGACGCUAAUACCGCAUACGUCCUACGGGAGAAAGCAGGGGACCUUCGGGCCUUGCGCUAUCAGAUGAGCCUAGGUCGGAUUAGCUAGUUGGUGAGGUAAUGGCUCACCAAGGCGACGAUCCGUAACUGGUCUGAGAGGAUGAUCAGUCACACUGGAACUGAGACACGGUCCAGACUCCUACGGGAGGCAGCAAUGGGGAAUAUUGGACAAUGGGCGAAAGCCUGAUCCAGCCAUGCCGCGUGUGUGAAGAAGGUCUUCGGAUUGUAAAGCACUUUAAGUUGGGAGGAAGGGCCAUUACCUAAUACGUGAUGGUUUUGACGUUACCGACAGAAUAAGCACCGGCUAACUCUGU